GUCACUGUGGUGCAGUGGUUUGAACACUGGGCUAUGACUCUGGAGACUAGGGUUCGAAUCCUGGCUCGACC